CUACGGGAGGCAGCAGUGGGGAAUAUUGCACAAUGGGGGAAACCCUGAUGCAGCCAUGCCGCGUGUGUGAAGAAGGCCUUCGGGUUGUAAAGCACUUUCAGUGGUGAGGAAAAGUUAGUAGUUAAUACCUGCUAACCGUGACGUUAACCACAGAAGAAGCACCGGCUAACUCCGUGCCAGCAGCCGCGGUAAUACGGAGGGUGCGAGCGUUAAUCGGAAUUACUGGGCGUAAAGCGCACGCAGGCGGUUUGUUAAGCUAGAUGUGAAAGCCCCGCGCUUAACGUGGGAUGGUCAUUUAGAACUGGCAGACUAGAGUCUUGGAGAGGGGAGUGGAAUUUCUGGUGUAGCGGUGAAAUGCGUAGAGAUCAGAAGGAACAUCAAUGGCGAAGGCAGCUCUCUGGCCAAAGACUGACGCUCAUGUGCGAAAGUGUGGGUAGCGAACAGGAUUAGAUACCCUGGUAGUCCACACCGUAAGCGCUGUCUACUAGCUGUAUGUGUAUUUAAUACGUGUGUAGCGAAGCUAACGCGCUAAGUAGACCGCCUGGGGAGUACGGUCGCAAGAUUAAAACUCAAAU
rnacentral:rRNA from 1 species